UGCUGUUUCGCUGACGAGUGGCGGACGGGUGAGUAAUGUCUGGGAAACUGCCUGAUGGAGGGGGAUAACUACUGGAAACGGUAGCUAAUACCGCAUAACGUCGCAAGACCAAAGAGGGGGACCUUCGGGCCUCUUGCCAUCGGAUGUGCCCAGAUGGGAUUAGCUAGUAGGUGGGGUAACGGCUCACCUAGGCGACGAUCCCUAGCUGGUCUGAGAGGAUGACCAGCCACACUGGAACUGAGACACGGUCCAGACUCCUACGGGAGGCAGCAGUGGGGAAUAUUGCACAAUGGGCGCAAGCCUGAUGCAGCCAUGCCGCGUGUAUGAAGAAGGCCUUCGGGUUGUAAAGUACUUUCAGCGGGGAGGAAGGGAGUAAAGUUAAUACCUUUACUCAUUGACGUUACCCGCAGAAGAAGCACCGGCUAACUCCGUGCCAGCAGCCGCGGUAAUACGGAGGGUGCAAGCGUUAAUCGGAAUUACUGGGCGUAAAGCGCACGCAGGCGGUUUGUUAAGUCAGAUGUGAAAUCCCCGGGCUCAACCUGGGAACUGCAUCUGAUACUGGCAAGCUUGAGUCUCGUAGAGGGGGGUAGAAUUCCAGGUGUAGCGGUGAAAUGCGUAGAGAUCUGGAGGAAUACCGGUGGCGAAGGCGGCCCCCUGGACGAAGACUGACGCUCAGGUGCGAAAGCGUGGGGA
rnacentral:rRNA from 1 species